GUGAGGAAUAUUGCGCAAUGGAGGCAACUCUGACGCAGCCAUGCCGCGUGCAGGAAGAAGGCGCUACGCGUUGUAAACUGCUUUUAACCGGGAAGAAACCCCAGGACGUGUCCUGGGUUGACGGUACCGGAGGAAUAAGCACCGGCUAACUUCGUGCCAGCAGCCGCGGUAAUACGAAGGGUGCAAGCGUUAUCCGGAUUCAUUGGGUUUAAAGGGUGCGUAGGCGGAGCGUUAAGUCAGUGGUGAAAUCCUGCAGCUUAACUGUAGACUUGCCAUUGAUACUGGCGCUCUUGAGUGCGCUUGAAGUGGGCGGAAUGUGCCGUGUAGCGGUGAAAUGCUUAGAUAUGGCACAGAACACCAAUUGCGAAGACAGCUCACUAAGGCGAUACUGACGCUGAGGCACGAAAGCGUGGGGAUCGAACAGGAUUAGAAACCCGAGUAGUCC
rnacentral:rRNA from 1 species